UUAUACGGUGAUGGCACGUUGAAUACAUCAGUUCCCAAGAGAUCAAUGAAGUUAAGCAAUAUUGCGCGUGGUUAGUAUCCGGAUCGGUGACCAUCUGGCAAUCGCGUACUGUUGGUU
rnacentral:rRNA from 1 species